rnacentral:rRNA from 1 species
GACGAACGCUGGCGGCGUGCCUAAUACAUGCAAGCCGAACGCUUCUUUCCUCCCGAGUGCUUGCCCUCAAUUGGAAAGAGGAGUGGCGGACGGGUGAGUAACACGUGGGUAACCUACCCAUCAGAGGGGGAUAACACUUGGAAACAGGUGCUAAUACCGCAUAACAGUUUAUGCCGCAUGGCAUAAGAGUGAAAGGCGCUUUCGGGUGUCGCUGAUGGAUGGACCCGCGGUGCAUUAGCUAGUUGGUGAGGUAACGGCUCACCAAGGCCACGAUGCAUAGCCGACCUGAGAGGGUGAUCGGCCACACUGGGACUGAGACACGGCCCAGACUCCUACGGGAGGCAGCAGUAGGGAAUCUUCGGCAAUGGACGAAAGUCUGACCGAGCAACGCCGCGUGAGUGAAGAAGGUUUUCGGAUCGUAAAACUCUGUUGUUAGAGAAGAACAAGGACGUUAGUAACUGAACGUCCCCUGACGGUAUCUAACCAGAAAGCCACGGCUAACUACGUG